UACAGAGGGUGCAAGCGUUGUUCGGAAUUAUUGGGCGUAAAGCGUGCGUAGGUGGUUCGUUACGUCCGAUGUGAAAGCCCUGGGCUCAACCUGGGAAUGGCAUUGGAUACUGGCGGGCUAGAGUGCGGUAGAGGGCAGUGGAAUUCCCGGUGUAGCAGUGAAAUGCGUAGAGAUCGGGAGGAACAUCUGUGGCGAAGGCGACUGCCUGGACCAGCACUGACACUGAGGCACGAAAGCGUGGGGAGCAAACAGG
rnacentral:rRNA from 1 species